GAUGAACGCUGGCGGCGUGCCUAAUACAUGCAAGUCGAGCGAACAGGCGAUGAUCUUGCUCCUCUGACGUUAGCGGCACACGGGUGAGUAACACGUGUAUAACCUACCUAUAAGUCUGGGAUAACUUCGGAAAACCGGAGCUAAUCCCGUAUAAUAUAUUGAUCCGCAUGGGUCAAUAGUGAAAUACGGCUUUGCGGUCACUUAUCGAUGGAUCCGGGCCUCAUUAGCUGGUUGGUGAGGUAACGGGUUACCAAGGCAACGAUGCGUAUGCGACGGGAGAGGGUGAUAGGCCACAUGGGAACUGAGACACGGACAAGACUACUAAGGGAGGGAGCAGUAGGGAAUCGUCCGCAAUGGGAGAAAGCCUGACGGAACAACGGCGCGUGAGUUAUGAAGGUCCUCGGAUCGGAAAACUGUGUUAUGAGGGAAGAACAAAUGUGUAAGUAACUAAGCAGGUCUUGACGGUAACUAAUCAGAAAGCCACGGCUAACUACGUG
rnacentral:rRNA from 1 species